rnacentral:misc_RNA from 1 species
GUCAUAGACGUAUGUACUCACUUCUGGCACUGCGACCUGGCGCCAGCGUCGCCUCCAGUCAUGUACCGCUACAAUCGAUGAUUGCCUAAGCCAGAGCGAACAGAAAGAAGAGAGUGAAGAGAGAGAGAGAGAGAGAGAGAGAGCGAGCGAGCCAGCGAGCGAACGUGAUACCAAAGACAAUAGGCAACUGUAAAGAACGGGAACGAUAACCAGGUGGAGGGAUCCGAUCCAUCAACCAUUUAAAGAACUAAAAACAGAAGAGGCACACACAGACAGACAGCACUAUGUUGAUUAAGGAGUACCGUAUACCGCUGCCCCUCACCGUCGAGGAGUAUCGGAUUGCCCAGCUGUACAUGAUAGCGAAAAAGAGUCGCGAGGAGAGCCAUGGCGAGGGCAGCGGCGUUGAGAUCAUCAUCAAUGAACCCUAUAAGGAUGGUCCCGGCGGCAAUGGUCAAUAUACGAAAAAGAUAUACCAUGUGGGCAAUCAUUUGCCAGGCUGGAUCAAGAGUCUCUUGCCGAAAAGUGCUCUGACCGUUGAGGAGGAGGCAUGGAACGCAUAUCCGUAUACAAGGACACGCUACACCUGCCCCUUUGUGGAGAAAUUCUCGCUGGACAUUGAGACGUACUAUUUCCCAGACAAUGGCUAUCAGGAGAAUGUCUUUCAGCUGUCGGGCAGCGAUCUACGCAAUCGUAUUGUCGAUGUAAUCGAUAUUGUCAAAGAUCAGCUAUGGGGCGGCGAUUACGUGAAGGAAGAGGACCCCAAACAAUUUAUAUCGGAAAAGACGGGACGUGGCCCGUUAGCCGAUGACUGGCUGGAGGAGUAUUGGCGCGAGGUCAAGGGCAAAAAGCAGCCAACGCCGCGGAACAUGUCCCUGAUGACGGCCUAUAAGAUUUGUCGCGUUGAAUUCCGAUAUUGGGGCAUGCAAACGAAGCUGGAGAAGUUCAUACACGAUGUGGCAUUGCGCAAAAUGAUGCUGCGGGCGCAUCGUCAGGCCUGGGCAUGGCAGGAUGAAUGGUAUGGCCUUACCAUCGAGGAUAUACGCGAGCUGGAGCGUCAGACACAGCUGGCACUAGCCAAGAAAAUGGGCAGCGGUGAAGAGUGCAGCGAUGAUAGCACCUCCGAGGCGUACACUAGCACGACGGCCACGGCUGCCGCCUCUACGGGUGGCAGCGAACGAAAGAAAUCGGCGCCGGCCAUACCGCCAAUUGUCACCCAACAGCCGCCCAGUGCCGAGGCCAGCUCCGACGAGGAGGAGGGCGAGGACGAAGACGACGAUGAGGAUGAGAACGAUGCCAUUGGCGCUGGUGUGGAUCUGGUUGGCAGCACACAGGGCACCGCCACCGCAAAAGAUCGCUCCCGAUCGCAGAGCAUACAGAUGGCCAACAAGGGGAAAUUUGGCUCGAAAGGUGCCCUGCACUCGCCCGUGGGCUCGGCGCACAGCUUUGAUCUGCAGUCAAAAAAGCCGCAUGCCAAGACAGCGCCUCGCAGACAUGUGGCUAACUGGCGCAUGGAACGACUGGAAGUGGACUCCAAGUCGAACUCUGAUGAGGAGUUCUUUGAUUGUUUAGACACCAAUGAGACGAACUCUCUGGCCAAGUGGAGCUCCCUGGAGCUGCUGGGUGAGGGCGACGACAGUCCACCGCCCCAUGGGGGCCCCUCCAGCGGUGGCUCUGUGGCAAGCGGUCGCGGCCACGCCGGCGGCAAGCAGGAGGAUAGCAUUUUCAAUCAGGACUUUCUAAUGCGCGUCGCCUCGGAGCGGGGUAACAAGCGACAGCUGCGCUCCUCGGCCAGUGUGGACCGCAGCCAUGAUUCGUCGCCGCCAGGAUCGCCGAGCACCCCAUCUUGUCCGACCACCAUACUGAUGUUGGUCGUUCACGCCGGCAGUGUGCUGGACGCCGCCAGUGAGCUAACGGCCAAGAAGUCAGAUGUCACCACAUUCCGUGGCUCGUUCGAGGCCGUCAUGCGGCAGCAUUAUCCCAGCUUGCUGACACAUGUGACGAUCAAAAUGGUGCCCUGUCCGUCGAUAUGCACCGAUGCUUUGGGGAUACUCUCCAGCCUCAGUCCAUACUCGUUCGAUGCCUCGCCCUCGGCGGCGGAUAUACCGAACAUAGCCGAUGUACCCAUAGGAGCCAUACCCCUGCUGGCUGUGGCCUCACCCGAGUUCCACGAGACCGUCAACAAGACGGUGGCAGCGGCCAAUAUUGUGUACCAUGAGUUUUUGAAAUCGGAAGAGGGACAUGGUUUCUCCGGGCAAAUUGUAAUGCUCGGCGACUCCAUGGGCUCUCUGCUGGCAUACGAGGCUUUGUGCCGGUCCAACGGCAGUCAGCCGGGCACCGCUGGAUCUGGGGCCUCGAACUCUGGCGGCGAUGCUGUUGCCGCCAGCAGCGGCAGCAACGCCCAGCCGAUGAACAGCCGACACUCGCGACUGGACGACGAUGAGCGCUUCAUUGAGGCCGAUCUGGAUGCCAAACGUCUGCUGGUGGCCCCCUCGCCGCGUCGUCGUCGCUCCAGUUCGUCGAGUGACUCGCGGGCCGUCAAGCUUGACUUCGAGGUCAGUGACUUUUUCAUGUUCGGCUCGCCGCUGUCCGUUGUCUUGGCCGCCCGCAAGUUGCACGAUGCCAAGACGGCACUGGUGCGUCCGAACUGCCAUCAAGUGUACAAUUUGUUCCAUCCAACCGAUCCGAUUGCCUCGCGGCUGGAGCCGCUGCUUAGUGCACGCUUCUCCAUACUGUCGCCGGUGAAUGUUCCACGUUAUGCCAAAUAUCCACUGGGAAGUGGCCAGCCAUUGCAUUUAUUGGAGGUUAUUCAAUCUCAUCCGCAGCACUUUAACGAUGGCAACAACAUACUGGCCGGACGUCGCCUCUCGGAUGCCUCCAUGCAGAGCACGAUUUCGGGACUAAUUGAGAAUGUCUCUCUCAGUACAAUUCAUGCCCUUCAAAACAAAUGGUGGGGCACCAAGCGCCUGGACUAUGCCCUGUACUGCCCCGAGGGGCUGAGCAAUUUCCCCGCCCAUGCAUUGCCGCAUCUGUUCCAUGCCAGCUACUGGGAGAGCCCCGAUGUGAUUGCGUUUAUAUUGCGACAGAUUGGCAAAUUCGAGGGCAUACCGUUUGUGGGAUCCAACGACGACAAGGAUGCGGCCUCCUUCCAUCCAGGGCAGCCGCGCGAAAAGUGGAUCAAGAAGCGCACAUCGGUGAAGCUGAAAAAUGUGGCCGCCAACCAUCGGGCCAACGAUGUGAUUGUCCAGGAGGGACGCGAGCAGCGUUUGAAUGCCCGCUUCAUGUACGGACCCCUCGACAUGAUCACGCUCCAUGGCGAGAAGGUCGAUGUGCAUAUUAUGAAGGAUCCGCCGGCGGGCGAGUGGACAUUCCUCACCACCGAAAUGACGGACAAAAACGGACGCAUCUCGUACAACAUACCCGAUCAGCUGUCCCUCGGCUAUGGGAUAUAUCCGGUAAAGAUGGUCGUCCGUGGCGAUCAUACAUCGGUGGACUGCUACAUGGCCGUGGUGCCACCACUCACCGAGUGCGUUGUCUUUAGCAUUGAUGGCUCCUUCACCGCCUCCAUGUCGGUGACGGGCCGCGAUCCCAAGGUGCGUGCCGGUGCCGUCGACGUCUGCCGCCAUUGGCAGGAGCUGGGCUAUCUGCUCAUCUACAUCACGGGGCGGCCGGAUAUGCAGCAGCAGCGUGUCGUCUCUUGGCUGAGCCAGCACAAUUUCCCCCACGGCUUGAUCUCAUUCGCGGACGGGCUGUCCACCGAUCCGUUGGGCCACAAGACCGCGUAUCUCAACAAUCUGGUGCAGAAUCAUGGAAUCUCAAUUACGGCCGCCUACGGCAGCAGCAAGGAUAUUACUGUGUACACGAAUGUGGGGAUGCGUACCGAUCAGAUAUUUAUUGUCGGCAAGGUGAGCAAGAAGCUACAGUCGAACGCCAUAGUCUUGAGCGAUGGCUAUGCGGCACAUUUGUCCGGCCUUCAGGCUGUGGGCGGCUCGCGUCCGGCCAAAGGGAAUGCCCGUAUGGUCAUACCCAGGGGAUGUUUCAACCUGCCCGGCCAGACGGCCAAUCCGCGACGCCGAAGCAACGAGACGGGACUUUCAUCGCCCAUACGCAGCGGCUAUCUGAAGCGCAAAACCUAUUUGAGCCAUCACUAGAUAUGACCCAAGAGAGAAGCCCCCCACUAGAGAGAACUAGAAACCAAAGCAAACCCCACAAGAACUGCAAACUCCAGAAAGAUUUAUAGCACACCGCAAUCCUGCAUUCCGUUCUACAUACUAACAAAACCGAAAGAAAGGAUCACAGCAUUGAGGCCGCCUCCCAUAUAUGUCACCUCUGUGUAUAUAUCACAUGAAUAUAUAUUUAUAUACUAUGCGCGAUAUAUAUAGCAAAAAAUAUUGGGUGUAUAUACGAAAGCAAACAAAUAUUAACAACAAAAAUAUUGUACAACAUAUAACCAAAAGUCAAAUGUGUCACGCGGUACCUGGAACGAAAGACUGUUUCCUCCUGUUGUUUGAUGGUUUUCCAAACCACUUAAAGAAACACAAAAGAAAGUAAAUACCUAUUAAAGAA